rnacentral:piRNA from 1 species
UGCUCCCCAACAAUAUAAGUGGUGAGACA